rnacentral:misc_RNA from 1 species
GAUGAAGAACGCAGCGAAAUGCGAUAAGUAAUGUGAAUUGCAGAAUUCAGUGAAUCAUCGAAUCUUUGAACGCACAUUGCGCCCGCCAGUAUUCUGGCGGGCAUGCCUGUUCGAGCGUCAUUUCAACCAUCAAGCCCCCGGCUUGUGUUGGGGACCUGCGGCUGCCGCAGGCCCUGAAAACCAGUGGCGGGCUCGCUGUCACACCGAGCGUAGUAGAUUUUCAUCUCGCUCAGGGCGUGCUGCGGGUUCCGGCCGUAAAAAGCCUUAUUUACCCAAGGUUGACCUCGGAUCAGGUAGGAAGACCCGCUGAACUUAAGCAUAUCAAUAAGCGGGAGGA